rnacentral:rRNA from 1 species
GAUGAACGCUGGCGGCGUGCCUAAUACAUGCAAGUCGAGCGAACAGACGAGGAGCUUGCUCCUCUGACGUUAGCGGCGGACGGGUGAGUAACACGUGGAUAACCUACCUAUAAGACUGGGAUAACUUCGGGAAACCGGAGCUAAUACCGGAUAAUAUAUUGAACCGCAUGGUUCAAUAGUGAAAGACGGUUUUGCUGUCACUUAUAGAUGGAUCCGCGCCUCAUUAGCUAGUUGGUAAGGUAACGGCUUACCAAGGCGACGAUGCGUAGCCGAACUGAGAGGGUGAUCGGCCACACUGGAACUGAGACACGGUCCAGACUCCUACGGGAGGCAGCAGUAGGGAAUCUUGCGCAAUGGGCGAAAGCCUGACGGAGCAACGCCGCGUGAGUGAUGAAGGUCUUCGGAUCGUAAAACUCUGUUAUUAGGGAAGAACAAAUGUGUAAGUAACUAUGCACGUCUUGACGGUACCUAAUCAGAAAGCCACGGCUAACUACGUG